UGAAAAGUCUCCUUCAAAAUGUUUUUACCACUAGUGACAAAGAUAAUAUUUUCACUUUUCGGCAAAAAUUCACCAGCUGCACAAUUCCUGGGCAAAAAACACAAGAGAGAGAGAGGAGAGUGGAAAAGAUCCCCUCGGCGCUUCUCUGCCACCUUGAUCACCGGGAAUUCAACUCGGGCGAGAUUUUCGCCCGCCUUUAAAGUGCUCUUCAACUAACCUUAAAUGACUCUUAAAGAGGCUCCAGACUUCAGGUAGUGCGUGUGAUGGAUAGCACCUCUGGCUGAAGACAGUCCAUUAGAAGAAAGAGAAUACCACAAAGCAAAAAGCCCGGCUCCGUCGUCUCGAGUUCAAUUCAGCGGUAGUAAUAGCAGCUCUGUUUACUGCCCUGCAAAGGAAUAAAAAGAUACACUGUUUUGGUACAAAUGUCCGACCCAGUUAACCACUCGGGAGCCCUCAUAGUUUCAGGUUAGCGAACCUUAACCAGGCAGAAAGUCUCUGCGAC